rnacentral:rRNA from 1 species
GAUGAACGCUAGCGACAGGCCUAACACAUGCAAGUCGAGGGGCAGCACAUGCGUAGCAAUACAAUGGUGGCGACCGGCGCACGGGUGAGUAACACGUAUGCAACCUACCUGUAAGAGGGGAAUAACCCGGAGAAAUUCGGACUAACACCGCAUAAUACCGAUUAACUGCAUGGUUGAUCGGUUAAAUAUUUAUAGCUUACAGAUGGGCAUGCGUAACAUUAGAUAGUUGGUGAGGUAACGGCUCACCAAGUCAACGAUGUUUAGGGGUUCUGAGAGGAAGGUCCCCCACACUGGUACUGAGACACGGACCAGACUCCUACGGGAGGCAGCAGUGAGGAAUAUUGGUCAAUGGGCGAGAGCCUGAACCAGCCAAGUCGCGUGAAGGAAGAAGGUUCUAUGGAUUGUAAACUUCUUUUGUAAGGGAAUAAAAAAGCUUACGUGUAGGCUGUUGUAUGUACUUUACGAAUAAGGAUCGGCUAACUCCGUGCCAGCCGCCGCCGUAA